rnacentral:misc_RNA from 1 species
ACCUACUGUUUAAUUUUGAGGGUUCGUUUUUACGAAUACUCAAAAUUAGCACUUUUAGCAACAGAAUAAACUGAACGCAUGUGAAGUUUGUUUGUUGGCGACGUGCUUUAGCACUUUGAAAACUGCAUAUAUAUUUAGUGAUAUGACAUCUAAUUUGUAAUAUAUAAAGCUGAUAACUUUUAAAAUUAUCGAAGUUGAUAGCUUCUAAUCUAUCAAACCUUUUUAACUGGUCAA